CCUACGGGAGGCAGCAGUGGGGAAUGUUGCGCAAUGGGCGGAAGAGUGACGCAGCGACGCCGCGUGAAUGACGAAGGCCUUCGGGUCGUAAAGUUCUUUCGACAGGGAAGAAAAUGCAUAUAAGUAACUGUGUAUGUAUUGACGGUACCUGUAUAAGCAGCCCCGGCUAACUCCGUGCCAGCAGCCGCGGUAAGACGGAGGGGGCGAGGGUUGUUCGGAGGGACUGGGCGUAAAGAGCAAGUAGGAGGUGUUGUAAGGCAUUAGUCAAAGACGAGGGCUCAACUUUAGUAAGGCUAGUGAUACUAUAAUACUAGAGUAUCAGAGAGGAUUGCAGAAUUCCUGGUGUAGCGGUGAAAUGCGUAGAUAUCAGGAGGAAUACCGUUGGCGAAGGCGGCAAUCUGGCUGGAAACUGACGCUGAGGUGCGAAAGCGUGGGUAGCAAACAGGAUUAGAUACCCGUGUAGUC
rnacentral:rRNA from 1 species